GACGAACGCUGGCGGCGUGCUUAACACAUGCAAGUCGAACGGAAAGGCCUGCUUUCCCUUGUGGAUUGCGGGUACUCGAGUGGCGAACGGGUGAGUAACACGUGAGUGAUCUGCCCCCAACUUGGGUAUAAGCCUGGGAAACUGGGUCUAAUUCCCGAUAGGACUGCAGGGUGGUGCCUUUGGUGGAAAACGAUUUUCUAGUGGUUGGGGAUGAGCUCGCGGCCUAUCAGCUUGUUGGCGGGGUAAUGGCCUACCAAGGCGGCGACGGGUAGCCGGCCUGAGAGGGUGGACGGCCACAUUGGGACUGAGAUACGGCCCAGACUCCUACGGGAGGCAGCAGUGGGGAAUAUUGCACAAUGGGCGGAAGCCUGAUGCAGCGACGCCGCGUGGGGGAUGACGGCCUUCGGGUUGUAAACUCCUUUCGACCGCGAGGAAGCCACCUGGUUGGAAGGGUGGUGACGGUAGUGGUAGAAGAAGCACCGGCUAACUACGUG
rnacentral:rRNA from 1 species